UACGUAGGUGGCAAGCGUUGUCCGGAAUUAUUGGGCGUAAAGGGCGCGUAGGCGGAUAUUUAAGUCAGAUGUGAAAUAUGCGGGCUUAACCCGGAUAUGCAACUGAUACUGGGUAUCUUGAGUGCAGGAGAGGACAGUGGAAUUCCUAGUGUAGCGGUGAAAUGCGUAGAUAUUAGGAGGAACACCAGUGGCGAAGGCGGCUGUCUGGACUGUAACUGACGCUGAGGCGCGAAAGCGUGGGGAGCAAACAGG
rnacentral:rRNA from 1 species